rnacentral:rRNA from 1 species
AUUGAACGCUGGCGACAGGCCUAACACAUGCAAGUCGAGCGGAUGAAGGGAGCUUGCUCCUGGAUUCAGCGGCGGACGGGUGAGUAAUGCCUAGGAAUCUGCCUGGUAGUGGGGGAUAACGUCCGGAAACGGGCGCUAAUACCGCAUACGUCCUGAGGGAGAAAGUGGGGGAUCUUCGGACCUCACGCUAUCAGAUGAGCCUAGGUCGGAUUAGCUAGUUGGUGGGGUAAAGGCCUACCAAGGCGACGAUCCGUAACUGGUCUGAGAGGAUGAUCAGUCACACUGGAACUGAGACACGGUCCAGACUCCUACGGGAGGCAGCAGUGGGGAAUAUUGGACAAUGGGCGAAAGCCUGAUCCAGCCAUGCCGCGUGUGUGAAGAAGGUCUUCGGAUUGUAAAGCACUUUAAGUUGGGAGGAAGGGCAGUAAGUUUAUACCUUGCUGUUUUGACGUUACCAACAGAAUAAGCACCGGCUAACUUCGUG